UACGUAGGUGGCAAGCGUUGUCCGGAUUUACUGGGCGUAAAGAGCGCGCAGGCGGUCGAAUAAGUCGAAUGUGAAAGCCCCCCGGCUCAACUGGGGGAGGGUCACGCGAUACUGCUCGACUCGAAGGCAGGAGAGGGAAGUGGAAUUCCCGGUGUAGUGGUGAAAUUCGUAGAUAUCGGGGAGGAACACCGGUGGCGAAGGCGGCGACCUGGGGUAGAUACUGACGCUGAGGUGCGGAAAGCGUGGGGGAGCAAACAGGG
rnacentral:rRNA from 1 species